ACUUAAUUAGUAUAAAAUAAGUACAUUUAAUUUCCAAUUAAAAAGUUAAUAAUUAAAUAAUUAAGUA
rnacentral:tRNA from 1 species